GAUGAACGCUGGCGGCGUGCCUAAUACAUGCAAGUCGAGCGAACGGACGAGAAGCUUGCUUCUCUGAUGUUAGCGGCGGACGGGUGAGUAACACGUGGAUAACCUACCUAUAAGACUGGGAUAACUUCGGGAAACCGGAGCUAAUACCGGAUGAUAUUUUGAACCGCAUGGUUCAAAAGUGAAAGACGGUCUUGCUGUCACUUAUAGAUGGAUCCGCGCUGCAUUAGCUAGUUGGUAAGGAAACGGCUUACCAAGGCAACGAUGCAUAGCCGACCUGAGAGGGUGAUCGGCCACACUGGAACUGAGACACGGUCCAGACUCCUACGGGAGGCAGCAGUAGGGAAUCUUCCGCAAUGGGCGAAAGCCUGACGGAGCAACGCCGCGUGAGUGAUGAAGGUCUUCGGAUCGUAAAACUCUGUUAUUAGGGAAGAACAUAUGUGUAAGUAACUGUGCACAUCUUGACGGUACCUAAUCAGAAAGCCACGGCUAACUACGUG
rnacentral:rRNA from 1 species